CCUACGGGUGGCAGCAGUGGGGAAUAUUGCACAAUGGGCGCAAGCCUGAUGCAGCAACGCCGCGUGAGCGAUGAAGGCCUUCGGGUCGUAAAGCACUGUCCUCAAGGAAGAUAAUGACGGUACUUGAGGAGGAAGCCCCGGCUAAUUCCGUGCCAGCAGCCGCGGUAAUACGUAGGGGGCUAGGCUUAUCCGGAAUUACUGGGCGUAAAGGGAGCGGAGGUGGUUUCUUAAGUCAGAGGGGAAAGGCUACGGCUCAACCGUAGUAAGCCUUUGAAACUGGGGAACUUGAGUGCAGUAGAGGAGAGUAGAAUUCCUGGUGUAGCGGUGAAAUGCGUAGAGAUUAGGAGGAACACCAGUGGCGAAGGCGGCUCUCUGGACUGUAACUGACACUGAGGCACGAAAGCGUGGGGAGCAAACAGGAUUAGAUACCCCAGUAGUC
rnacentral:rRNA from 1 species